GUUAUCUGCCAUCUCCUGUUUACGAGCCAGUAAAACAUAUUGGGUACCAGAGAUGAUGUGAUAGACAAGACAGACAUAGACAACUCAACAACAAUCAUGUCUGCCAAGAUAACUUGAGGCCUGCUGAUAUCUACAAUGAAAAUAAUCAGCUUUCUGCAUAAUCCAUUGGUGUGCUUUAAUGAUUAGCAGUCAUAAAAACAAGAGCUCCUGAAAGCCUCAUCCAAAUCUGGUUUCUCAGAGAGUGUGGGAUUCCCUGUCGCACCAUUAGUCUCAG